rnacentral:rRNA from 1 species
UGGGGAAUAUUGCACAAUGGGCGCAAGCCUGAUGCAGCCAUGCCGCGUGUGUGAAGAAGGCCUUCGGGUUGUAAAGCACUUUCAGCGGGGAGGAAGGCGGUGAGGUUAAUAACCUCAUCGAUUGACGUUACCCGCAGAAGAAGCACCGGCUAACUCCGUGCCAGCAGCCGCGGUAAUACGGAGGGUGCAAGCGUUAAUCGGAAUUACUGGGCGUAAAGCGCACGCAGGCGGUCUGUCAAGUCGGAUGUGAAAUCCCCGGGCUCAACCUGGGAACUGCAUUCGAAACGGGCAGACUAGAGUCUUGUAGAGGGGGUAGAAUUCCAGGUGUAGCGGUGAAAUUGCGUAGAGAUCUGGAGGAAUACCGGUGGCGAAGGCGGCCCCCUGGACAAAGACUGACGCUCAGGUGCGAAAGCGUGGGAGCAAACA